GAUGAACGCUGGCGGCGUGCCUAAUACAUGCGAGUCGAGCGAACAGACGAGGAGCUUGCUCCUCUGACGUUAGCGGCGGACGGGUGAGUAACACGUGGAUAACCUACCUAUAAGACUGGGAUAACUUCGGGAAACCGGAGCUAAUACCGGAUAAUAUAUUGAACCGCAUGGUUCAAUAGUGAAAGACGGUUUUGCUGUCACUUAUAGAUGGAUCCGCGCCGCAUUAGCUAGUUGGUAAGGUAACGGCUUACCAAGGCAACGAUGCGUAGCCGACCUGUGAGGGUGAUCGGCCACACUGGAACUGAGACACGGUACAGACUCCUACGGGAGGCAGCAGUAGGGAAUCUUCCGCAAUGGGCGAAAGCCUGACGGAGCAACGCCGCGUGAGUGAUGAAGGUCUUCGGAUCGUAAAACUCUGUUAUUAGGGAAGAACAAAUGUGUAAGUAACUAUGCACGUCUUGACGGUACCUAAUCAGAAAGCAACGGCUAACUACGUG
rnacentral:rRNA from 1 species